rnacentral:lncRNA from 1 species
CAUAAGAAUCGCUUGAACCUGGGAGGCGGAGGUUGUUGUGAGCCAAGAUCGCACUACUGCACCCCAGCCUGGGUGACAGAGUGAGUCUCUGUCUCAAAUAAGUAAAUAAAUAAAUAAAAGAAAGAGGAAGUCCAUGAUGACAGUAUUUUUUUUUAUAGGGACAUACUGGCCAAAAGUUCCUAGGAAUUCAAUCAUAUUUUUAAAUGUACUCAACGAAAUAGCCUGACUGUAAAAUUGGAAAUAUAGUGGGGUUUAUUGAGUCUAU